rnacentral:rRNA from 1 species
CAGUAGCCGCGGUAAUACGAAGGGUGCAAGCGUUAAUCGGAAUUACUGGGCGUAAGGCGCACGUAGGCGGCUUGGUAAGUUAGAGGUGAAAGCCUGGAGCUCAACUCCAGAAUUGCCUUUAAGACUGCCGAGCUAGCAGGUGAGAGAGGUAAGUGGAAUUCCGAGUGUAGAGGUGAAAUUCGUAGAUAUUCGGAAGAACACCAGUGGCGAAGGCGGCCAUCUGGGACAACACUGACGCUGAGGCACGAAAGCGUGGGGAGCAAACAGGAUUAGAUACCCCUGUAGUCCCUGUCUCUUAUAA